CCUACGGGCGGCUGCAGUGGGGAAUAUUGGACAAUGGGCGAAAGCCUGAUCCAGCCAUGCCGCGUGUGUGAAGAAGGCCUUCGGGUUGUAAAGCACUUUCAGUGGGGAAGAAAGCCUUGGGGCUAAUACCCUCGAGGAGGGACAUCACCCACAGAAGAAGCACCGGCUAACUCCGUGCCAGCAGCCGCGGUAAUACGGAGGGUGCGAGCGUUAAUCGGAAUUACUGGGCGUAAAGCGCGCGUAGGCGGUCUGAUAAGCCGGUUGUGAAAGCCCCGGGCUCAACCUGGGAACGGCAUCCGGAACUGUCAGGCUAGAGUGCAGGAGAGGAAGGUAGAAUUCCCGGUGUAGCGGUGAAAUGCGUAGAGAUCGGGAGGAAUACCAGUGGCGAAGGCGGCCUUCUGGACUGACACUGACGCUGAGGUGCGAAAGCGUGGGUAGCAAACAGGACUAGAUACCCCAGUAGUC
rnacentral:rRNA from 1 species